AUUGAACGCUGGCGGCAGGCCUAACACAUGCAAGUCGAACGAGUGGCGGACGGGUGAGUAAUGUCUGGGAAACUGCCCGAUGGAGGGGGAUAACUACUGGAAACGGUAGCUAAUACCGCAUACCAUCGGAUGUGCCCAGAUGGGAUUAGCUAGUAGGUGGGGUAACGGCUCACCUAGGCGACGAUCCCUAGCUGGGCUGAGAGGAUGACCAGCCACACUGGAACUGAGACACGGUCCAGACUCCGACGGGAGGCAGCAGUGGGGAAUAUUGCACAAUGGGAGCAAGGCUGAAGCAGCCAUGCCGCGUGUAUGAAGGAGGCCUGCGGGUUGUAAAGGACUUUCAGCGAGGAAGCGUUACUCGCAGAAGAAGCACCGGCUAACUCAGUGCCAGCAGCCGCGGUAUAC
rnacentral:rRNA from 1 species